CGGUGGAGAUUCGCUAGUGCACAAUAUUUGCGAUGGCUGCUUCGAAGGUGCUUGUAUUCCUGUCCAUUAUUGCCAGCGUCAUGAUUGUAACCCAAUGCACAUCAGCCGAAACACCAAGUGUUCAUGGAGCAAGCAAUAAUUCCUCCGGGUCCACUGGGAGUAGUUCCCCCGGCGGUGGCUCCGUUACCUCUCCUGGUGGCAACCCUGGCACUUCUCCUGCUGUCACUGGUGCAAACGCUCCAAAGUAGAAUUCUAAACGUGCAGCCUGUUAGCGGGCACAUUUCAAGCAACCGAAGAAACUCAAGAUCGCAACUGAUGGUGUUUGUGCCAACGUAAAUAAAUAAACC